ACCAAAUGAUGUAAAUUGAAACAUAGUAUAAUUCAAUGAUGACACUUAUUCAUCACCCAUUGAACUGAUGGUC
rfam:Lottia gigantea unplaced genomic scaffold LOTGIsca_19, whole genome shotgun sequence.